GACGAACGCUGGCGGCGUGCUUAACACAUGCAAGUCGUACGGUAAGGCCCUUUCGGGGGUACACGAGUGGCGAACGGGUGAGUAACACGUGAGUAACCUGCCCACAACUUUGGGAUAACGCUAGGAAACUGGUGCUAAUACUGGAUAUGUGCUCCUGCUGCAUGGUGGGGGUUGGAAAGCUCCGGCGGUUGUGGAUGGACUCGCGGCCUAUCAGCUUGUUGGUGGGGUAGUGGCCUACCAAGGCGGCGACGGGUAGCCGGCCUGAGAGGGUGACCGGCCACAUUUGGACUGGGAUACGGCCCAGACUCCUACGGGAGGCAGCAGGGGGGAAUAUUGCACAAUGGGGGCAAGCCUGAUGCAGCAACGCCGCGUGCGGGAUGACGGCCUUCGGGUUGUAAACCGCUUUCAGCAGGGACGAAGCUUUUUGUGACGGUACCUGCAGAAGAAGCACCGGCUAACUACGUG
rnacentral:rRNA from 1 species